GCCCGGAUGGUCUAGUGGUAUGAUUCGCGCUUAGGGAAAACCCUUAGCUAUCGUAUAUGCGCGAGGUCCCCGGUUCGAUCCCGGGUUCGGGCC